rnacentral:misc_RNA from 1 species
GAAAUUUGAUGGGAAGCAAUUUUAUUUGAAUUUCAUUCACUUUACUUGCCAUUUCAGUUGUAGUUACUUAAAACUCAGAUGUGAAAUAUCAAAUUAAUUUUAGUCAGAGUUCUGCGGAGAACUCAUGAUUAAGAUGACAAUAACAUUAUAUUACAUUUUUAUACAUUAUAUUACAUUUUUAUACAAGGCAAGCAAAGAGUGCGAAGCAUGAAAAGUAAAAAGGAAAUUAAUAUCAAACAUGCAUACAUACACACAGUAUUACAAACACUUAAUCAAAGUCUUAGCUACUGACACCCCCUUGAAAAAAAAAAAUUUCUCCCAAAUUUACUUCUGAGAAUGGCUUAGUCAAUGGAUGCCAUUUAUUUAUCAGCGAUGAAGAAACUUGUUUCAUGGUUGGCCGAGAUUGCGGAUUGGCACUCAAGCAGGCAAGUGCGAGUUGUGCAAUAUGUAUUACUCCUUCAGCAGCUUUGUUUUGAGGAGUUGGGAGACGUUGAUCAAUCACAUCCUUAAGUAGUGUAUACUGAUCCAUCUGUGAAAGAGUUGAAAUGAAAUCACCUGGAUGUCUUCCCAUUAGAAUUUCAAGUGUCACCACACCAAAACUGUAAACAUCAUAUUUUUCAUUGACGAUCAUGGUGUAAGCUAGCUCUGCAAAAAUGUACAAUCACGCAUUAGCUUGCAGGUUUGCAGUGGCAUUGUAAGGCAUAUAAAAAGCAUGAUCUUAGAUCAUUUAUUGUGGUACCGCAUUGAUCUUAGUUUGCAUGAUUAUGACAAUUGACAAAUUUGGAUUUAAUUUAGGAAAGAAAUGGAAUUCUUACAAAAUCAUAUUAGCUAAUCUAGACAGAGCCAGAAUUUAACAAAAUUGCUUAACAAUCUAGACCGCAUUUCCCCUAACAAUGUUUCCAGGAAGGGAACCAUGGCAUUACAUGUGUAAUGAAAUUUCAGCAGAACAAAUUAUGUUUAGCAAUUGCACAGAGUCUAAUUGUCUUGCACUUCAUCAGUCUGCACAUGAGGAUGCCUUUAUCUGUGUGUGACCCAUUUAUAGGCACCAGCAACUAUAUCAAUGAUGUUAUGAGUUUGAGUUCAUUUGCAGAAGAGGUUCAGCUAAAAGGUAAAGUUUUUAAGAUUACAUUAAAAAAAUGGAUUAAGAAAAUUUAUUAACUUUAUUAUGAUAAAUAAAUGAAGCCAAAGAAAGUACCUGGUGCCGAGUACCCAAAUGUGCCUGCUAAUGAGGUCCAAUUUGACAAGUCUGGCAUUAAGAUCCUAGCUGUUCCAAAAUCAGAGACAUGAGCCUCAAACUCUGAAUCCAAUAGAACAUUGUUACUGGAAAUGUCUCGAUGGAUGAUUGAAGGAGAGCAGUCAUGGUGCAUAUAGGUCAAUGCAUUAGCUAUUCCCUUAACAACAUUUUGCCUCCUAAACCAAUCCAACUCCACUGCUUGUUCUUCAUUGCUUAAAUUAUUUCUUAAACUUCCUCCUUCUAUGAAUUCAUAAACCAAAAAUGAGAGUUUGGGGUGUGAAAAAAAACCAUAUAACUUCACAAUAU